UGGUUGCCAUGGUGCCUUGAACACAGGAGUUGGCAUUUGCCCUCUUGAGCACAAUAAACCCCCUGGCUGGCGUCCCUGCGCGAUCAGACGGCGGGUUCGUGCGCUGGGUGCGGACGCUGCCUGGCGGGAGGGGGCUGAGCUCAGAUUCGUCCUCACGCGAUCCCGGUGCCACUCCUGGGCUGGGACAGCGCCUGGCGCCCGGGACAACAGGCAGCCACCAGGCCAGCGGGGCACCAUGUCUCCUCUCCAUGUCCUGUCGCUCGCACUGCUCUGCAUCGCCGCCUCGCAGGCCCAGGAUGGUGCAGUGAAGGGCACCACGGCAGGCUCCCAGACGCUGCAGCCCUGGCUGGUGGGGCUGACGGCCGUCGUCGUCUUCCUCUUCAUCGUCGUCGUGCUGAUGAUCAUCAACAGAGUCUGGUGCCACAAGCAGCGCAGGAACGAGGAGGA